rnacentral:rRNA from 1 species
UACGAAGGGGGCUAGCGUUGCUCGGAAUUACUGGGCGUAAAGGGCGCGUAGGCGGACAGUUAAGUCAGAGGUGAAAGCCCAGGGCUCAACCCUGGAAUUGCCUUUGAUACUGGCUGUCUUGAGUGCGGGAGAGGUGUGUGGAACUCCGAGUGUAGAGGUGAAAUUCGUAGAUAUUCGCAAGAACACCAGUGGCGAAGGCGGCUCACUGGCCCGGUACUGACGCUGAGGUGCGAAAGCGUGGGGAGCAAACAGG